rnacentral:lncRNA from 1 species
UCUUAGAGAUGACCAGUUGGAGAUGAAUUCUCUUAUUUCUACUUCAUCUGAAAACUUUCACUUUUAUUCCUGAAGGAUAUUUUCACAGUUUAAAGGUUUCUGGAUCAAUAGCAUUCUUUAAGCACUUUAAAAGUAUUCUUCCACUAUUUUCCAGCUUUCAUGAUUUCUGAAGAGAAAGCCACAGAAAUUCAAAUUGGUGUUCCCAUGUAAAAAUGUGUCUUUUACUCUAGAUCCUUUCAAUUUUUUAACCUAUGUCUGUCAUUUGUAGCAGUUUGAUGAUGUGUGUAGGCAUCAUAUUAUUUGAUUUUAUCCUCAUUAAGGCUCGCUGAACUUAUUAUUAUCUAUAAAUUUGUCUUUUCCAAAUUCAAGAUGUUUUAGCCACUGUUUAAUUAAAUACUUCUGCAACUGUCUUUUAAAAAUUUUUUAUACCUUUAUUUUAUUUAUUCUUAUGUGGUGCUGAGAAUCAAACCCAGUGCCUUACUUGGUAUAGUGCAAGCACUAUACCACUAAGUUACAACCCCAACCCCUGUAGCAGUCUUUUCAUCCUUCCAUCUAGGACUGAAGUGGCAUGAAUUUUAGAUUCUUUAUAUUAUUCCACAAAUCCCUAAGGUGGCUUGUUCAUUUCUUUUUCAAUUUCUUUUCUCAGAAGUUGUCUUUGUUACUCAGAUUGAAUAUUUUCUAUGAAUUUAAAGUUCACUGACAUCUUUCCUCUGUUGUGUUCACUCUGUUAUAUUGUCCAUCCUGUGAUUUUUUUUUUUUUCAGAUAAGUUUUUUCAGUCUAAAAUUUUUAUUUUGGUUAUUUUUGUAGCUUCUAUAUUCCUUUACCGAGAGUUGUCAUUUCAUUUUAAAUGUAUUUAUCUUUACCUCAUAGGGCAUAGUUAUUAUUUUUUGUUUGUUUUAAACUGACAUGUUAAAUGUUUGUUGUUAUUUUGGGUUUAGCAUCUGGUGAUUGUCUUUUCCCUUAAGAUUUG